rnacentral:rRNA from 1 species
AUUCCAGCUCCAAUAGCGUAUAUUAAAGUUGUUGCAGUUAAAAAGCUCGUAGUCGGAUUUUGGCAUCACGCCGAACUGUCUGCCGAUUGGUAAGUACGGUUUGGCGGGUGCUUCCUUCCGGAGGCUCGUUCCCUUCUUCAUUGAAGGGUUCGUUGGUUCCGGGUCUUUUACUUUGAGAAAAUUAGAGUGUUCAAAGCAGGCCUAUGCUCUGAAUAGGUUAGCAUGGAAUAAUAGAAUAGGACUUUGGUUCUAUUUUGUUGGUAUCUAGGACCGAAGUAAUGAUUAAUAGGGACAGUUGGGGGCAUUCAUAUUCCAUUGUCAGAGGUGAAAUUCUUGGAUUAACGGAAGAUGAACUUCUGCGAAAGCAUCUGCCAAGGAUGUUUUCAUCA